ACACCAUCAAAUUAUGGAAAUUGGUAAGGUAGAAAUUUAAUUUUUGGCUCAUGAAUGUGGACAGUGAUAACUAAUCCUAGCCCUUAUAAAAUUGUUUUGCAAUCAGUUUCGCAUUUUACUGAAAAGAAGUACUAUGUUGUAAUGCUUUUAAUUAAAUUUAUUAAAAAACUGAAAAAUAGUUUAGACGAGUCAUAUGGCAAGGGCAUGGAAUAAGUUAAGAACACUUGAGUUUGAAAAUUAAGAAACUAUG
rnacentral:misc_RNA from 1 species